UACAGGGACCUCAAGCGUUAUCCGGAAUGAUUGGGCGUAAAGCGUCUGCAGGUGGCAGUUCAAGUCUGCUGUCAAAGACUGGGGCUUAACCCUGGAAAGGCCGUGGAAACUGACGAGCUAGAGUGCAGUAGGGGUAGAGGGAAUUCCCGGUGUAGCGGUGAAAUGCGUAGAGCUCGGGAGGAACAUCGGUGGCGAAAGCGCUCUACUGGACUGCAACUGACACUCAGGGACGAAAGCUAGGGGAGCGAAUGGG
rnacentral:rRNA from 1 species